rnacentral:rRNA from 1 species
AUGGCACAUGGUUCCAAGGUAAACUCAUGCGAUGCUUACUUUCAAACAUCAAGUGAAGAUGACUCUGAAUGUGAAUCUAAACCUAGCUACAAAACACUUGCUAAAAUUGCAACUGAACAACAAAAUGCUAUGGAACAUAUUCAAAAGUGGCUAGACAAAAGCGAUGACCUGUUGGACGCGAAAAUGACCCGAACUCAGUCCUUAAUUGAAGACAUUAAAAAUCUUCAUGUUAAGUACGAGGAACUUGAAAGUCAUCAUGAAACACUCUCAACUACUCAUGAAAAGCUCUCCUAUGAUUAUCUUCAAAGGAAGCAAGAGCUUGAGAACUUGAGAUCGGCUCAUGAAGAUCUUCAAAAGGAGAACGAGUCGCUCCGCGCUCAACAGAUCAGUUCCGCUCAAGAAGGAUUUGAACCACCAUGUCUAAAAUGUCUUGAGCGUGACAAUGCUGUCUCUAUUGUUGAAUGUUCUACUGCUUCUACUGUUGCAAUAUCUUCAACUGCUGAUGUGGUAACUAACCCCUCUGUUGAGGAUACCACUACUAUUGCUGAUGAGAAUGCCAGGUUGAAGACAUUGCUUGAGACAGGGAUGUACAAAAGUCUCAAAGGGCAUCAGACACUAUGUGAUGUCCUCAAGAAAUAG